rnacentral:piRNA from 1 species
UGCCAAGACUGACAUCUCCUUUUGGACAUGU